AAUGCUGAAUGUUCCACCCCAGAGUCUUGGCCUCUAGGAGGCAGGGACAGCAGGCCCGGCCAGCCUAGAGGACACUGUGUCCACAGUGUCAAUGAGGACGCCGCUGGCCCAUGUCCCACAGGGAUGUAGAGGGCAGCCUCAGAGGCACUGGGCACUCCCGGUACCAUGGAUGACGCUGCUGUCCUCAAGCGACAAGGCUACAUCAUGGGGACAACUUUGGGAGAGGGCUCGUACGCAAAACUAAAAUCUGCUUACUCUGAGCGCCUGAAGUUCAACGUAGCAGUCAAGAUCAUCGACUGCAAGAAAACCUCCACGGACUUCUUGGAGAAAUUCCUUCUCCGGGAAAUUGAAAUUCUGGUGAUGCUAAACCACCCCUCCAUCAUCAAGACCUACAAGAUCUUCGAGACAUCAGAUGGCAAGGUCUACAUCGUCAUGGAGCUUGGGGCCCAGGGCGACCUCCUUGAGUUCAUCAAAACCUGGGGAGCCCUGUGAGAGGACAAUGCUCGAAAGAUGUUCCAGCAGCUCUCUUCGGCCAUCUCCUCGGCCAUCAAGUACUGCCACGACCUGGAUGUCGUCCACCGUGACCUUAAGUGUGAGGACCUUCUCCUCGACAAGGACUUCAACAUCAAGCUGUCUGACUUUAGCUUUUCCAAGCGCUGCCUGCGGGACGACACUGGGCAGUGUACGCGGCCCCCAAGGUGCUGCAGGGCAUCCCCUACCAGCCCAAGGCGUACGACAUCUGGAGCCUGGGUGUAAUCCUCUACAUAAUGGUCUGUGACUUCAUGCCCUGCGAUGACUUCGACAUCAAGAAGAUGCUGCGCAUCCAGAAGGAGCAUCGCGUGGACUUCCCACGCUCCAAGAACCUGACGGGCGAGUGCAAGGACCUCAUCUACUGCAUGGUCCAGCCCGACAUCAACCGGCGGCUGCACAUUGACGAAAUCCUCAGCCACUGCUGGGUGCAGCCCAAAGCACGGGACCUGUCCUCUGCAGCCAUCCCCCACAAAGAGGGGAAGAGCUCCCGCGUCACAGAGUCCUCAGGGACCCCUGAGCCCUAUGCUGACGAGAAGUCCGCCACCAAGCUAGAGCCCCAGACCCAGGCUCGGCCUUCAUCGUCACCCUCUGCUCCCGGAGGCUGCCCUGGCCUGGCCGCCUCUCGCCUGCUCAAAAGCACCGGCCCCCUCCUCUCUCCCUAA